CAGCAGCCGCGGUAAGACGAGGGAUCCUAGCGUUGUUCGGAAUUAUUGGGCGUAAAGCGGGUGUAGGUGGCUUUGUAAGUCAGGUGUGAAAGCCCAGGGCUCAACCCUGGAAGUGCAUUUGAUACUGCGAAGCUUGAGUGUAGGAGAGGUUACUAGAAUUCUUGGUGUAGUGGUGAAAUACGUAGAUAUCAAGAGGAAUACCGGAGGCGAAGGCGGGUAACUGGCCUAACACUGACACUCAGACCCGAAAGCGUGGGGAUCAAACAGGAUUAGAUACCCCCGUAGUCCCUGUCUCUUAUAC
rnacentral:rRNA from 1 species